UACGGGGGGGGCAAGCGUUGUUCGGAAUUACUGGGCGUAAAGGGCUCGUAGGCGGCCAACUAAGUCAGACGUGAAAUCCCUCGGCUUAACCGGGGAACUGCAUCUGAUACUGGAUGGCUUGAGUUCGGGAGAGGGAUGCGGAAUUCCAGGUGUAGCGGUGAAAUGCGCAGAUAUCAGGAAGAACACCUAUGGCGAAGGCAGCUCUCUGGGACGGUACUGACGCUGAGACGCGAAAGCGUGGGGAGCGAACAGG
rnacentral:rRNA from 1 species